rnacentral:rRNA from 1 species
UACGUAGGGUGCGAGCGUUAAUCGGAAUUACUGGGCGUAAAGCGCGCGUAGGCGGACCUGCAAGUCGGGGGUGAAAGCCCGAGGCUCAACCUCGGAACUGCCUUCGAUACUGCGGGUCUCGAGUCCGGGAGAGGUGAGUGGAAUUCCUAGUGUAGAGGUGAAAUUCGUAGAUAUUAGGAAGAACACCAGUGGCGAAGGCGGCUCACUGGCCCGGUACUGACGCUGAGGCGCGAAAGCGUGGGGAGCGAACAGG